UGCAAACUGGGCACGAUGCCAAGAACUCGCCGGCUCAUUCUGUACAUUUCAGUGGCCUGAAGGCGGCUGGGAGAACCCUUCCCUCCCUUACCACAUCCGAGUUGAUUGCAAGAAAUGUAACAGAGAGAUUUUGGAAGUUGGUCAUCUUCCAUUGUAUUUAUGUGCAGGAAUGAUGAAGAUGCCCAAUAUCAUAGAGCCUUAACCGUAAGUUCUUGUUAGCUAGUUUAGUCCUUGAGUUUUAUUUGUCUCUCACAUAUCUCUGAUUUUGCUAAGCAAAAUGCAUAAGAAGGGGAGGGAAACCAAUCACUGAUGAAGGAGAAGAAAUGGCAGUGGUGGAGAUAGAGGUUGUUGGCCCUUUUCAUGUGCUGUGCACAAGAAGAUCAAGCUGUUCUACUUUUGGUGGAUGUGCAGAAAGGAUGAUGGCAGUGGAGAACUUGUGGGGCCUUUUUCUUUGGGAAAAAGUGGAGAAUGUGCAUUUAGGGUUUUAGGCGACAAAUCGGAUGAUGAAGGUGAAAUUUUGGAAAUCAAAGGGAUCAAAGGAUGGUUCCAGGUAACGCGCCAUGGGAAGAAGAGGUGGAGGACUCUGGAUCAAGGAGGCUUCCAGGACUUCCUGGGCUUCCGAUUCUGAUCCAAGUUCGGAGGAUUCAGAUGAUUAAUUCAGGUGCAUUGAUACAUGCUUUAAGAUGGCUGUAAAUAUAUAUAUAGUCAGGAUCUUGUGACCUAUGCUUUUUUGACACUUACUUUGUAAUGUAUUACAACGAUCUGAACCAUCUAUAUUUUAGUACAUUAUUCAUAGAUCA